rnacentral:tRNA from 1 species
GGGGAAUUAGCUCAGUUGGGAGACCACAUGACUGGUAGUCAUGUGGUCAGGAGUUCGAAUCCCCUAUUCUCCA